rnacentral:rRNA from 1 species
GACGAAGGGGGCUAGCGUUGUUCGGAAUUACUGGGCGUAAAGCGCGUGUAGGCGGUUGUUCAAGUCGGGUGUGAAAGCCUUGAGCUCAACUCAAGAAAUGCACUCGAUACUGGAUGACUUGAGGACCGGAGAGGAUAGUGGAAUUCCCAGUGUAGUGGUGAAAUACGUAGAGAUUGGGAAGAACACCAGUGGCGAAGGCGGGUCUCUGGGCCGAUACUGACGCUGAGGAGCGAAAGCGUGGGGAGCGAACAGG